rnacentral:lncRNA from 1 species
CUUGUUUGAAGUCAGACUGCCCGUGGUGUCCCGAGGCUGGCCCACUGCAUUAGGGUGGCUGUUUGGAGACAACAGGCUGGCCAACCAGAUCUCUCCUCCUCCUUUCCACAGUGGAGUCACCGCUGGGCAUGGGGCCACCUAGCAAAGGACUGCAUCUCUCAGGCCUUCUCAUAGGUAGGUACAGUCACAUGGCUGGGCUCUUGCCAUUGCUAGAAAGUGGAAGUGAUGAGUCCAUGGCUCUGAAAACAGCAGGUGUACCUCUUCCACACUCUCUUCCCCUAUCCCUUCGGCUGAACCUGAAUGUUACAGUGGCUUCAACCGUGCAGAUGGUGACAAGGUCCUAGAGAUGGAAGAACCUGAAGACGGAAGAAACCUGGGUGCCUGAGUGACCAGGUGGAGCAGAGUGACUUUGCCAUGAAAAAGAAGUUGGGUUCCUCUCUUGUGACAGCAGCUCAGCCUUUUAUUGUGAACGGAAGAGCACCCCAUUUUCUGAGUUCCCUGAACCACGUCCAGACACUGCACCCCAACUCACUGGACUCUCCCACUAGAGAGCAACCUCUCAGCUGGCUCAGUUAUAAAAGCCCUGGAGACAAAAAUGUGCUUUGGAAUCAGACAUGGUUUCUCAUCCAGCUCUGCUCCUUCCUGGCUGUGCAACUUUGGACAAGUGACUUUACCUCUCUGAACUCCAUUCUCUCUUAUCCAAAAAAGGAUUCCAGCUAGCUCUGCCAUGAGGAUUCAAUGACAGGACGCAGGUAAAAGGCUCAGCACAGUGCUUGGCACAGAGUAAGGUCUUCGCAAAGGAGUGCUCAUGCUGUGGGUUCCGUCCAGAAUGUGGUCCAACAAAUCCAUCACACGCAGGUGGGGGCGUGUCCCAGCCCCUGGGGUGAGUCUAAGUAAGGCUGCCCACGCUUGGCAUUUGAGGCCAGAUAAUUCUCAGUGGGGUGGGGGUGGAGGGGCAUCCUGUGCGUUGGAGGAUACUGAAUGGUGUCCCUGGCCUCCACCCACCAGAUGAGAGUAGCAGCCCCAGCCCCAGGCUUGGAAAAGGUUUCCAGAGAUUGCCAACUGUCCCCUGCGGGUGAAAUUGCUGCUGUACAGGAAUCACAAAGAACUCAGACACGGAGAUCCUCCUGGAGCUAAUGGUCCACGGGGGCCCCUUCUUUGUGGACACAGACACCUCGGUACACACACCCGGAGGACCCAGGAGGGCCAGGCUGAAGGAGGGCAUCACCUUCCAUCUGGGGGACUUAUCCCCCUCUCCCCACACUUACACUUGAAGGUGGACUCAGUGCUGACCCUCAGGGCCAGGGCACACGGCAGGUGCAUUUUGGGAGGGAAAGGCCAGCUUUGGUCUGGAAAGGGGCACACCUCCUCUUGGAAAUACAAAAAAUACACAUGGGCAAGGACACGGCUUUGUAACAAACCCACUUUUAUUGAUAGUGUACACGGAGAUCCAUGGUGGCGGGGCUGUGCCUGGGUGA